rnacentral:rRNA from 1 species
AUCUUACAAGUGUAUGAGCAUGCGUCUGGGAAGCGGGUUAACCUUCAGAAGUCCUCUAUUUUCUUUGGGAAGGGUUGCACGAAGGACAACGAAAACGUGUUGAAGGGAGUAAUUGGCAUCAACUCUGAAGCCCUCAGCGAAAAGUACCUUGGUCUACCGACGGCGGUGGGCAGAUCCAAAGAUGGCACCUUUAGAUACGUCACAGAG